rnacentral:rRNA from 1 species
CACGCCGUCCGGCGACGAUUCGAACCCGGCAUAGCUCGUCGCGAGCAACGCCUUGGCACGCGCGAUCGGCGCCGGAUCCCAGCCGGGCGACGCCAAUUUGUCGGCGAACAGCCGGAGCUGGUCCUGAUAAUCGGCGGGCGACGACACCGCGCCGAGCACGAACGCGUCCUCAUCAAUGCCGAAGUCCAUGCCCAGCAGCCGCCGCGGUAAC